rnacentral:rRNA from 1 species
CUUUAUACUGUGAACUGCGAAUGGCUCAUUAAAUCAGUUAUCGUUUAUUUGAUAGUACCUUACUACAUGGAUACCUGUGGUAAUUCUAGAGCUAAUACAUGCUAAAAACCCCGACUUCAGGAAGGGGUGUAUUUAUUAGAUAAAAAACCAACGCCCUUCGGGGCUCCUUGGUGAAUCAUAAUAACUUAACGAAUCGCAUGGCCUUGCGCCGGCGAUGGUUCAUUCAAAUUUCUGCCCUAUCAACUUUCGAUGGUAGGAUAGUGGCCUACCAUGGUGGCAACGGGUAACGGGGAAUUAGGGUUCGAUUCCGGAGAGGGAGCCUGAGAAACGGCUACCACAUCCAAGGAAGGCAGCAGGCGCGCAAAUUACCCAAUCCCGAUACGGGGAGGUAGUGACAAUAAAUACUGAUACGGGGCUCUUUUGGGUCUCGUAAUUGGAAUGAGAACAAUUUAAAUCCCUUAACGAGGAACAAUUGGAGGGCAAGUCUGGUGCCAGCAGCCGCGGUAAUUCCAGCUCCAAUAGCGUAUAUUAAAGUUGUUGCAGUUAAAAAGCUCGUAGUUGAACCUUGGGUCUGGCUGGCCGGUCCGCCUCACCGCGAGUACUGGUCCGGCUGGACCUUUCCUUCUGGGGAACCUCAUGGCCUUCACUGGCUGUGGGGGGAACCAGGACUUUUACUGUGAAAAAAUUAGAGUGUUCAAAGCAGGCCUUUGCUCGAAUACAUUAGCAUGGAAUAAUAGAAUAGGACGUGCGGUUCUAUUUUGUUGGUUUCUAGGACCGCCGUAAUGAUUAAUAGGGAUAGUCGGGGGCGUCAGUAUUCAGCUGUCAGAGGUGAAAUUCUUGGAUUUGCUGAAGACUAACUACUGCGAAAGCAUUCGCCAAGGAUGUUUUCAUUAAUCAGGGAACGAAAGUUAGGGGAUCGAAGACGAUCAGAUACCGUCGUAGUCUUAACCAUAAACUAUGCCGACUACGGAUC